UAUCACGUGCGAUCGCCGAAGUUAAGCAACGUUGAGCCUGGUUAGUACUUAGAAGGGUGACCGCUUGGGAAUAUCAGGUGUUGUAAG